AACGAACGCUGGCGGCAUGCCUAACACAUGCAAGUCGAACGAGACCUUCGGGUCUAGUGGCGCACGGGUGCGUAACGCGUGGGAACCUGCCUUUAGGUUCGGAAUAACUCAGAGAAAUUUGAGCUAAUACCGGAUGAUGUCUUCGGACCAAAGAUUUAUCGCCUUUAGAUGGGCCCGCAUUGGAUUAGCUAGUUGGUGGGGUAAAGGCCUACCAAGGCGACGAUCCAUAGCUGGUCUGAGAGGAUGAUCAGCCACACUGGGACUGAGACACGGCCCAGACUCCUACGGGAGGCAGCAGUGGGGAAUAUUGGACAAUGGGCGAAAGCCUGAUCCAGCAAUGCCGCGUGAGUGAUGAAGGCCUUAGGGUUGUAAAGCUCUUUUACCCGAGAUGAUAAUGACAGUAUCGGGAGAAUAAGCUCCGGCUAACUCCGUG
rnacentral:rRNA from 1 species